CCAAUGAGAAUGAAGAUUGAGGUGUGCGCCUUUUUUUUUGAGUCUCAAUCGUGUGGACAUCAUUGGGAAUGGAGGGAAAUGACUGACUGUAUGGUCGUUGCUUUUUAAGUUUCAAACUGACAUUCCAGGCGGGCUGUGCCCGAGCCAGCAUCUGUUUUCACAUCUUCACAGCCUGGUCCUGGGAAGGUGGAGCCCACAGCUUCUCCCUGAUGGGCAAAGUGACGAGCUGGAGGGGAUAGGACACGGCUGAAGGCUGAGGCGUGCAGCCUCCAGCAUCUCUCUUCUUUACGAACUGGAUCCCUACAAGGAGAUUCUCAAGCUGGCAACAUGAUUGUCCACAUAGAAGAAUAAGCUGUCCUCCUUUCACUGACUGCAUUGAUCAAGCAAGUGCUUCCACUUGUUCUGAGGGUGUUGCUGCAGCAGACAGAAGCACAGGGGCUGAGAGCACAGCUUGGGCGUGGUAGACCAGGUGGACCCCCCAACUCCACCAUUCCCAGCUGUGUACCCCUGGGCACCUUCCUUGACCUCUCUGAACUUUGGUCCCCUCAUCUGAAAUGGAGGUUAUGGCAGAAACAAGAGCCUAUAGUCGUCGUGAGUAUUAAGUGAGAGCAAUGUACAGACAACUGAGCAGUGUACUUGGUGCAGGUAUGACUACUGCUUGCUGCUGUUGUAGGUGAUCCUGCACUGUCUGCUGUGCUGCCCCCAGGACUGUCACUGGAGCCAAGAAAACUCAAUUCUCCUGCUCAGUGGCCCUGUGACUUGUCAACUCACACAUCCAUUCUGAGCUUCACUGCAGAAUGGUUAUAAAUGGUUUAUUUAUAACAUGGUGACAAUAACCCCUCUCUCAUAAGAUUCUUGUUAAGACAGGACGAAACAACAAAUAAAAGUGCUUUGAGCACUUUAAUAAUAAUAAUGAUAAUGAUAAUAACAGCAGCUAAAAAUUUUUGAGCACUCCCUAGCACCAGCACCAUGGAUUGCUUUUUACUUACAACAUUUCACUUAAUCCUUAUAACCAUGAGUUAUUCGUCUAAUUUAUGUAGAUUGGGAAACUAGUCCCCAAGAAGUAAUCUGCCCAAAGACACAGCUUGUGAGCCGUAGAAUCCAGAUUUGGACCCCCAGGAUCUGGCUGUGUUCUCAUGCUUCCCAGAGAAAGUAAGCCAGUGAGGGAAAGAACAGCUUGGCCUGGGGCUCACUUCCACUGGAAAGGUGGGUAUAAUCUGUUGUGGGAGGCUCAGAGUGCAGUCUUUGACGUGCAGUGGGAGAGCCAAGAGUCAUCCUUGGCGGUGGCAACUGGCUCCAAACUAACAAACUGUCUGAGAAAUAAGGUUCCCUCUAGUAGGACACCAGGUAGGAUGUUACUCAGAAAGUCAGCUUUCCAUUCCCCUGAAGUAUUCAGUGAUUAGACUGAGGCCAACUACGGGCCCAGGUCUAAAAAUAACUCCAUCCCUUCUAGCAAGGACUCAGUCUGGACUGAAGUCAUUCUUUCAGGUGCAGAAAAGGAAAGCUUGACUGUACGUCAUGGACUUAAAAUAGGAGUGGGGUCAUAGGGCCAGCUGGGGCUCACGGGUGCCAAGUGGGCAGUUUGUCAGCUGGUGUUUCCUGCUUUGGACAGCAGGUUUCUGCCUCCUUUUUUGAGUUGAGAAGGAGUGAAAUUGUAUGUUUGAAAAGCUCACUUGUUUUGCUUUCUCUCUUCUCCGCGUGUGCCCUUUUCAUCCACAAUAAACA